UUGCUCGUAUUUUUGACAAUGGAACCAGCUUGCUACAAGAAUAUAUUCUGGAAAUUGGAUGUUAAUGAAAAAUCAGGACAUCCCUGCUGGUUCAGUAGACUG